ensembl:miRNA
UAAAACCUUCAGAAGGAAAGGAGAAUGUUUUGUGGACCAUUUGGUUUUUUGUGUGGCAGUUUUA